AAGGUCCCUAAAUGUAAGUUAAGUGGUAAAGGAUGUGGGAUUGCACAGACAACCAGGAUGUUGGCUUAGAAGCAGCCACUCAUUCAAAGAGUGCGUAAUAGCUCACUGGUCGAGUGAUCCUGCGCCGAAGAUUUCCGGGGCUAAAACUUACUACCGAAGCUACGGCAUCAGUAAUGAUGGGUAGGGGAGCUUCCCAUACGGGUUGAAGCAUGACCGUAAGGACAUGUGGACAGUAUGGGAGGGAGAAUGUUGGCAUGAGUAGCGAGAUGUGGGUGGGAAUCCCACAGGCCGUAAACCCAAGGUUUCCAGGGGAAGGUUCGUCCGCCCUGGGUUAGUCGGGACCUAAGCUGAGGCCGAAAGGCGUAGGUGAUGGACAACAGGUUGAUAUUCCUGUACUACCGAUAACCGUUUGAGAGAAGGGAUGACACAGUAGGAUAAGCUAAGCACACUG
rnacentral:rRNA from 1 species